GUCCACGCCGUAAACGAUGGGCACUAGGUGUGGGAGGUGUCGACUCCUCCCGUGCCGGAGCUAACGCAUUAAGUGUCCCGCCUGGGGAGUACGGCCGCAAGGCUAAAACUCAAAGGAAUUGACGGGGGCCCGCACAAGCAGCGGAGCAUGUGGUUUAAUUCGACGCAACGCGAAGAACCUUACCUGGGUUUGACAUGUUCCUGACCGCCCUGGAAACAGGGCUUCCCUCACGGGCAGGAUCACAGGUGGUGCAUGGCUGUCGU
rnacentral:rRNA from 1 species